rnacentral:tRNA from 1 species
UGAAUAUAGCUCAGUGGCAGAGGGUGUGCGUAGCAUAAGUGAGGUCCUGGGUUCAAUUCCCAGGACUUCAA